AUUGAACGCUGGCGGCAGGCUUAACACAUGCAAGUCGAGCGGAGAUGAGGUGCUUGCACCUUAUCUUAGCGGCGGACGGGUGAGUAAUGCUUAGGAAUCUGCCUAUUAGUGGGGGACAACAUUCCGAAAGGAAUGCUAAUACCGCAUACGUCCUACGGGAGAAAGCAGGGGAUCUUCGGACCUUGCGCUAAUAGAUGAGCCUAAGUCGGAUUAGCUAGUGGGUGGGGUAAAGGCCUACCAAGGCGACGAUCUGUAGCGGGUCUGGGAGGAUGAUCCGCCACGCUGGGACUGAGACACGGCCCAGACUCCUACGGGAGGCAGCAGUGGGGAAUAUUGGACAAUGGGGGGAACCCUGAUCCAGCCAUGCCGCGUGUGUGAAGAAGGCCUUAUGGUUGUAAAGCACUUUAAGCGAGGAGGAGGCUACUGAGACUAAUACUCUUGGAUAGUGGACGUUACUCGCAGAAUAAGCACCGGCUAACUCUGUGCCAGCAGCCGCGGUAA
rnacentral:rRNA from 1 species